rnacentral:rRNA from 1 species
UACGUAGGGUGCGAGCGUUGUCCGGAAUUAUUGGGCGUAAAGAGCUUGUAGGUGGUUUGUCGCGUCUGCUGUGAAAAUCCGAGGCUCAACCUCGGACUUGCAGUGGGUACGGGCAGACUAGAGUGCGGUAGGGGUGACUGGAAUUCCUGGUGUAGCGGUGGAAUGCGUAGAGAUCCGGAAGAACACCGAUGGCGAAAGGCAGAUCUCUGGGCCGUAACUGACGGCUGAGGAGCGA